GCGGCCGGUUCCUGAGUCGCCUUUCGGAGCUCGCCGGGGCCAAAGUCCGGGGUGGGUGGGAGGAGGUCCAGGUUCCCAGUUGAGGGGAGGGGGUCCCUGUUGCUUUCCUCGCGACCCCCCGCCUCUUCCUGGCUCUCCGGUGCUGACAAAGUGGCUGUCCUCACUCACUCACCCUUUGGAUAACCACUUAACCGAACUAGGACUUUGCUAGAAUCCCGGCUGUAGCAGCCCCUGCCCUACGUGGAUGCUCCACAGAUGUGCUGGAUGACAGCCAG